rnacentral:rRNA from 1 species
CAAUAGCGUAUAUUAAAGUUGUUGCAGUUAGAACGCUCGUAGUCGGAUUUCGGGGCGGGCCGACCGGUCUGCCGAUGGGUAUGCACUGGUCGGCGCGUCCUUCCUUCCGGAGACCGUCCCUACUCUUAACUGAGCGGGGGCGGGAGACGGGACUUUUACUUUGAAAAAAUCAGAGUGUUUCAAGCAGGCAGCUCGCUCUUGCAUGGAUUAGCAUGGGAUAAUGAAAUAGGACUUUGGUGCUAUUUUGUUGGUUUCGAACACCGAAGUAAUGAUGAGAAGGGACAGUCAGGGGCACUCGUAUUCCGCCGAGAGAGGUGAAAUCCUCAGACCAGCGGAAGACGAACCACUGCGAANGNAUUUGCNAGGGAUGUUUNCACUG